rnacentral:rRNA from 1 species
AUUGAACGCUGGCGGCAUGCCUUACACAUGCAAGUCGAACGGCAGCGCGGGGGCAACCCUGGCGGCGAGUGGCGAACGGGUGAGUAAUAUAUCGGAACGUACCCAAGAGUGGGGGAUAACGUAGCGAAAGUUACGCUAAUACCGCAUACGAUCUAAGGAUGAAAGUGGGGGACCGCAAGGCCUCACGCUCCUGGAGCGGCCGAUAUCUGAUUAGCUAGUUGGUGGGGUAAAGCCUACCAAGGCAUCGAUCAGUAGCUGGCCUGAGAGGACGACCAGCCACACUGGGACUGAGACACGGCCCAGACUCCUACGGGAGGCAGCAGUGGGGAAUUUUGGGACAAUGGGGGCAACCCUGAUCCAGCAAUGCCGCGUGAGUGAAGAAGGCCUCGG